AUGAACGCUAGCUACAGGCUUAACACAUGCAAGUCGAGGGGCAGCAUGGUCUUAGCUUGCUAAGGCCGAUGGCGACCGGCGCACGGGUGAGUAACACGUAUCCAACCUGCCGUCUACUCUUGGACAGCCUUCUGAAAGGAAGAUUAAUACAAGAUGGCAUCAUGAGUCCGCAUGUUCACAUGAUUAAAGGUAUUCCGGUAGACGAUGGGGAUGCGUUCCAUUAGAUAGUAGGCGGGGUAACGGCCCACCUAGUCUUCGAUGGAUAGGGGUUCUGAGAGGAAGGUCCCCCACAUUGGAACUGAGACACGGUCCAAACUCCUACGGGAGGCAGCAGUGAGGAAUAUUGGUCAAUGGGCGAGAGCCUGAACCAGCCAAGUAGCGUGAAGGAUGACUGCCCUAUGGGUUGUAAACUUCUUUUAUAAAGGAAUAAAGUCGGGUAUGGAUACCCGUUUGCAUGUACUUUAUGAAUAAGGAUCGGCUAACUCCGUGCCAGCAGCCGCGGUAAUACGGAGGAUCCGAGCGUUAUCCGGAUUUAUUGGGUUUAAAGGGAGCGUAGAUGGAUGUUUAAGUCAGUUGUGAAAGUUUGCGGCUCAACCGUAAAAUUGCAGUUGAUACUGGAUAUCUUGAGUGCAGUUGAGGCAGGCGGAAUUCGUGGUGUAGCGGUGAAAUGCUUAGAUAUCACGAAGAACUCCGAUUGCGAAGGCAGCCUGCUAAGCUGCAACUGACAUUGAGGCUCGAAAGUGUGGGUAUCAAACAGGAUUAGAUACCCUGGUAGUCCACACGGUAAACGAUGAAUACUCGCUGUUUGCGAUAUACAGCAAGCGGCCAAGCGAAAGCGUUAAGUAUUCCACCUGGGGAGUACGCCGGCAACGGUGAAACUCAAAGGAAUUGACGGGGGCCCGCACAAGCGGAGGAACAUGUGGUUUAAUUCGAUGAUACGCGAGGGACGUUACCCGCGCUUGAAUUGCAGAUGAAUUACGGUGAAAGCCGGGAGCCGAAAGGCAGCUGGGAAGGUGCUGCAUGGUUGUCGUCAGCUCGUGCCGUGAGGUGUCGGCUUAAGUGCCAUAACGAGCGCAACCCUUGUUGUCAGUUACUAACAGGUUCCGCUGAGGACUCUGACAAGACUGCCAUCGUAAGAUGUGAGGAAGGUGGGGAUGACGUCAAAUCAGCACGGCCCUUACGUCCGGGGCUACACACGUGUUACAAUGGGGGGUACAGAGGGCCGCUACCACGCGAGUGGAUGCCAAUCCCCAAAACCUCUCUCAGUUCGGACUGGAGUCUGCAACCCGACUCCACGAAGCUGGAUUCGCUAGUAAUCGCGCAUCAGCCACGGCGCGGUGAAUACGUUCCCGGGCCUUGUACACACCGCCCGUCAAGCCAUGGGAGCCGGGGGUACCUGAAGUGCGUAACCGCGAGGAGCGCCCUAGGGUAAAACUGGUGACUGGGGCU
rnacentral:rRNA from 1 species